UACAGGGGGUGCAAACGUUGCUCGGAAUCAUUGGGCGUAAAGCGCACGUAGGCGGUUCGUUAUGUCGGAUGUGAAAGCCCUUGGCUUAACCGAGGAAGUGCAUCCGAAACUGGCGAGCUAGAGUACUAAAGAGGAUCGCGGAAUUCCCGGUGUAGAGGUGAAAUUCGUAGAUAUCGGGAGGAACACCGGUGGCGAAGGCGGGUCUCUGGGCUGUAACUGACGCUGAGGAGCGAAAGCGUGGGUAGCGAA
rnacentral:rRNA from 1 species